rnacentral:rRNA from 1 species
UGGGGAAUAUUGCACAAUGGGCGCAAGCCUGAUGCAGCCAUGCCGCGUGUGUGAAGAAGGCCUUCGGGUUGUAAAGCACUUUCAGCGAGGAGGAAGGUGGUGAACUUAAUACGUUCAUCAAUUGACGUUACUCGCAGAAGAAGCACCGGCUAACUCCGUGCCAGCAGCCGCGGUAAUACGGAGGGUGCAAGCGUUAAUCGGAAUUACUGGGCGUAAAGCGCACGCAGGCGGUUUGUUAAGUCAGAUGUGAAAUCCCCGGGCUCAACCUGGGAACUGCAUUUGAAACUGGCAAGCUAGAGUCUCGUAGAGGGGGGUAGAAUUCCAGGUGUAGCGGUGAAAUGCGUAGAGAUCUGGAGGAAUACCGGUGGCGAAGGCGGCCCCCUGGACGAAGACUGACGCUCAGGUGCGAAAAGCGUGGGGAGCAAACAGGAUUAGAUACCCCUGGUAGGUCCACGCUGUAAACGAUGUCGAUUUUGGAGGUUGUGCCCCUUGAGGCGUGGCUUCCGGAGCUAACGCGUUAAAUCGACCGCCU